UCGUGCUCGGGUUGCGGCCGCUGACCGCGGCGUUGUGGCUGCUGCCGACCACGGUCGCCGGUGUCGCGGGUUCGUUCGCCGCGGCGCGCC
rnacentral:tRNA from 1 species